rnacentral:misc_RNA from 1 species
AACUUUCGGCAACGGAUCACUUGGUCUGGCAUCGAUGAAGAACGCAGCGAAAUGCGAUAAGUAAUGUGAAUUGCAGAAUUCAGUGAAUCAUCGAAUCUUUGAACGCACAUUGCGCCCCUUGGUAUUCCGGGGGGCAUGCCUGUUCGAGCGUCAUUUCAACCCUCAAGCCUAGCUUGGUCUUGGGCUCUGCCGGCAACGGCUGGCCUUAAAAUCAGUGGCGGUGCCAUCGAGCUCUACGCGUAGUAAUUAAACCCUCGCGUGUGAGUCUCGGUGAGUGCUUGCCAGCAACCCCCAAUUUUCUAUGGUUGACCUCGGAUCAGGUGGGGAUACCCGCUGAACUUAAGCAUAUCAAUAAGCGGAGGCU